rfam:Gossypium hirsutum cultivar TM-1 chromosome 17, whole genome shotgun sequence
UCUUAAAAAAUUCAUCCAUUUCUAUUAUUAAAACUAUCAUAGCUAACAAAUAUUAAACAGUGGCACAUGGUAUGUCCGGUGUACCUCAUUUUGACAUAUAGAAAUAAGUUUUUAAUAAUAGAAAUUGAUAAAAUUUUAACA